UGUGGCUCGCGCGUGCCUCCCUCGCCUGCAAGCCCUGGCGCCGCACCCUCGGCGACCCCGGCUUCCUCCGCCGCUACCGCAAAUUUCACCAAACACCUCCAAUGCUGAGCUUCCUCCGCAGCAUUGAGCGCCGCUAUGUCCCCAGCUCCUCCUUCCGCCGCAGCCUGUACGCCACGGGCGCAUCCUCCUCCAGGCCGUCGCACGCAGCCUCCACCACCUCCGCUCCUGCCCAAUGCCACGCCAUGCCGCCGCCGCCGUUCCCGUCCAAGGACGCGUACUACCUCCACCUCCUCCGCUCCUGCUCGACGCCGCGCCACGCCGCCGCCGUCCACGCCCACAUCGCGCGCGCGCACCCUUCCCCGUCCCUCUUCCUCCGCAACACGCUCCUCGCCGCCUACUGCCGCCUCGGCCCGCUCCCCGCGCGGCGCCUGCUCGACGAAAUGCCCCGCGUCAACGCCGUCUCCUUCAACCUCCUCAUCGACGCCUACUCCCGCGCCGGCCAGCCGGACGCCGCCCUGUCGACCUUCGAGCGCGCCCGCCGCGCCGCCGGCGUCAAGGCCGACCGGUUCACGUACACGGCCGCACUCACCGCAUGCUCACGGGCAGGGCGCCUGAGGGAGGGCAAGGCGGUGCACGCGCUGGCCGUCCUCGAGGGGCUCGCCGGGGACGUGUUCGUCUCCAACUCGCUCGUCAGCAUGUACGCCAGGUGCGGCGGCGACAUGCGCGAGGCCAGGCGGGUGUUCGACGCCGCCGAGGAGAGGGACGACGUCUCGUGGAACUCGCUGCUCUCCGGGUACGUGCGCGCCGGUGCGCGCGACGAGGUGGUGCUGGAGGUGUUUGCUCUGAUGCGCCGGUGCGACAUGGGGUUGAAUUCUUUCGCUCUUGGCAGCGUCAUCAAGUGCUGCUCUGGCAGCGGUGACUCCGUGAGGGGUAUCGCGGCCGCGGUUCACGGAUGCGUGGUGAAGGCUGGGCUGGAUUCCGACAUGUUUCUUCUGAGUGCGAUGGUUGACAUGUAUGCCAAGAGAGGCGCGUUGGCUGAAUCCGUCGCGCUCUUUAAGUCGGUGCCUGACCCCAAUGUGGUUGUGUUCAAUGCCAUGAUUGCGGGGCUGUGUCGUGAUGAGGAUGCAGUUGGUGAGGGAGUCGUGAGAGAGGCCUUAAGUCUGUAUUCGGAGGUGCGGAGUCGAGGAACGGAGCCUACCGAGUUCACAUUCCCCAGCAUCAUUCGAGUGUGUAACUUGGCAGGUGACCUUGAAUUUGGGAAACAGAUACAUGGGCAAGUGCUGAAGCACUGUUUCCAGGGAGAUGACUUUGUUGGGAGCGCACUCAUUGACUUGUACUUCAACUCUGGUUGUAUGGAAGAUGGAUUCAGGUGUUUCAGAUCUGUUCUGAAGCAAGAUGUUGUCACCUGGACAGCGAUGAUUUCAGGGUGUGUCCAAAAUGAGCUUUUCGAGAGGGCACUAACCUUGUUCCAUGAAUUGUUAGGUGCUGGACUGAAACCUGAUCCUUUCACUAUAUCGAGUGUGAUGAAUGCAUGUGCCAGUUUGGCUGUUGCAAGGACUGGUGAGCAGAUUCAGUGCUUUGCCUCAAAAUCUGGUUUUGGACGGUUCACUGCCUUGGGGAACUCUUGCAUACAUAUGUAUGCUAGGUCAGGGGAUGUUGAUGCUGCAAUUCGGAGGUUUCAGGAAAUGGAAUUGCAUGAUGUUGUCUCUUGGUCUGCAAUAAUAUCAAGCCAUGCACAACAUGGCUGUGCAAGGGAGGCUUUACAGUUUUUCAAUGAAAUGGUGGAUGCAAAAGUGGUGCCAAAUGAGAUUACUUUUCUCGCUGUCCUUACUGCAUGUAGUCAUGGAGGAUUGGUUGAUGAGGGACUCAGGUAUUAUGAAAUCAUGAAAAAGGAAUAUGGGUUGAGCCCAACCACAAAGCAUUGCACAUGUGUUGUUGAUCUCCUUGGACGAGCUGGGAGAUUAGCUGAUGCUGAGGCUUUCAUAAGGGAUUCAAUAUUCCAUGACGAACCUAUCAUCUGGCGGUCUUUGCUAGCAUCAUGUCGUAUCCAUCGAGACAUGGAGAGAGGUCAACUUGUUGCCGAUAGGAUAAUGGAACUAGAGCCUGCUUCCUCGGCAUCAUAUGUAAAUCUCUACAACAUGUACCUGGAUGCCGGGGAGCUCUCCUUAGCUUCAAAAAUUAGAGAUUUGAUGAAAGAGCGAGGCGUGAAGAAAGAACCUGGUCUUAGUUGGAUCGAACUAAAGUCUGGAGUUCACUCUUUUGUUGCGGGUGACAAGUCCCAUCCAGAGAGCAAUGCAGUAUACACGAAACUUGCAGAGAUGCUUUCCAAGAUUGAUAAGUUGACAACCAAUGAUACUAUCAGCAUAGUGUCAGAUGAAAUCACUGGAAAAGAGCAAAAUUGGAUGAAUUGCCACAGUGAGAAACUAGCAGUGGCAUUGGGAAUGAUUCAUUUACCACAGUCAGCACCUAUACGAGUAAUGAAGAACUUGAGAGUCUGCCGUGACUGCCACCUGACUAUGAAGUUGAUAUCCAAGAGCGAAAGUAGAGAGAUCAUCUUGAGAGACGCGAUUCGCUUCCAUCACUUCAGAGAUGGCUCAUGUUCCUGUGGUGAUUACUGGUAAUGACCAGUGUGAUGAUUCGGAAGGUGAAUUCUUGAAUGGCCACCUCCCCUGCCAGCCAAUAAUCUUACUGUAAUCGUAUAUACUGGAGGAGAAAAAAUCAAAAGAUUCAUGUCAGCCAAAGUCAGAACAGAUCCACGCGAUCCAUCUGCAAGGUUGCAUACCUAUUGGCACGGGCAAUCUUCAAAUCUCCAAAACGAAUUCUGAUCUUGUUUCCAUAAGAAAUGUCGUAAGAUCAAGAAGUAAUUCAAAAUAUGGCCUGUGAUUUAUCCAAUCGCCACGAGCUUCUUACAGAAGCAGAUUCCAACUUACACCCUGGCCUUUUGGAUACUGUUACGAAUUGCACAUAUGCUGGAGUGCUGAUGAACUUAUCGCUUUGAUAAAGCACAAUACUUGAUUAUACCUUGUGAACAUGUAAAUGUUAGGUAACGAUACACCCCAGUUCCCUAUACACAUUUGCAAAUGCAUGAGUACACAAACAAUACUGCUCACACCCAUCAUCAAGUGGUUAUCCAUUCAUAUGAUCAUAUCAUAUCCAGUUGAAAGCAUGUAACUUCUACCAUGGUCCAACAAGCUUUCUGCCGUUCUGGAAAUAUCAAUUCUAUACAGCUUAGUGAACCUUCCUGUUGUACUUGAUCAGCACAAUGCCACAACCCUGAUAUGGAUGGCCUUCCAGAGUUCGUAUUGGCUCUACGUAUUCAUGUUUCCUGGCACACUGAGAUUGAGUGCUUCAUAACGGCAGCAGCGGCUAUUGGAAACUUCUGUUGCUUCUCUAGAUAAACUUUACAAGAUUUUUGAAAGCUGCUAGCUGACAAAACUCACAAUAGAAUGAAGGAAGGGAGUGCAACAUCUUGCUGAUUCUUUUGGGUCGUGUAUAAUAUCACCGUCUGUAACUUAUUUGUGCCUCUGUAAAUGUUUGAAGAAAGAGUAAACAUGAGGUUUUGAAUGAAUUUGUCAUUAGGCUGUCGUGCAUCAACCAUGAAUUUAAA